AACCGUCUAGAGGUAAGCGGGUGGACCCGUCCAGUCGGCCCUCGGAAUUCAGCUUUUGGGAAAGUCUGCUGGCGCAGUUCUGGGAUCCCUGGGACUCGCUCGGCGCCAGACCGGACUCCCGAGAGUGCACUUUCCGUGUUGGCAGAGCGUCACGACCGGUUUUGCGGCGGUGAGAAGGCCCUCGGGAAGGUAGGUCGACGUCCUUCGGGGCGACGACUGUUAUAGACCUUGGGAGAUGGCCGCUGCGAGACCGUGGAUCGACCCGUCGUAUGGCAGUGGGGCUUCCCGCGUGCGUUCGACUCGGAAGGACAGGCUUGCCGUGCUUCCGGACUGCGCUGCGUGGGAGGACUCUGCUAUAGCCCGCGAUGCGUUAGGGUCAGUGACACACGAUCGGUAAUCCACCCGGCCCGUCUUGAAACACGGACCAAGAAGUCCAACAUGUGCGCGAGUCAUUGGGUCCUACGAAACCUAAAGGCGUAAUGAAGGUGAAGGCAGGUUCGGCCUGCUGAGGUGAGAUCCUCGUCCUCGGGCGGGGCGCAUCACCGGCCCGUCUGCAAAGGCGGAGCAAGAGCGCACACGUUGGGACCCGAAAGAUGGUGAACUAUGCCUGAGCAGGAUGAAGCCAGAGGAAACUCUGGUGGAAGUCCGUAGCGAUUCUGACGUGCAAAUCGAUCGUCGAACUUGGGUAUAGGGGCGAAAGACUAAUCGAACCAUCUAGUAGCUGGUUCCCUCCGAAGUUUCCCUCAGGAUAGCUGGCGCUCGUCUUAACAGUUUUAUCCGGUAAAGCGAAUGAUUAGAGGCCUUGGGGACGAAACGUCCUCAACCUAUUCUCAAACUUUAAAUGGGUAAGGAGUCGGACUCGCUCGAUCUGGAGUCCGGACUGGAAUGUGAGUGCCAAGUGGGCCACUUUUGGUAAGCAGAACUGGCGCUGUGGGAUGAACCAAACGUCCGGUUAAGGUGCCUAACACUGACGCUCAUGAGAUACCAUAAAAGGUGUUGGUUGAUAUAGACAGCAGGACGGUGGCCAUGGAAGUCGGAAUCCGCUAAGGAG
rnacentral:rRNA from 1 species